rnacentral:piRNA from 1 species
UAUCAAAGAUCCUACUGCCCAUCAUGACUA